GUGUUGUAUGAAAGAAGAGAAGGUUAGCACUCCCCUUGACAAGGAUGGAGGAGGCCCUCGGGCAUGACAACAUGCAUACGGUUAAGGCACUGGGACCUACUUCCUGGCAUCUAACCAACGUUUUUU
rnacentral:ncRNA from 1 species